rnacentral:rRNA from 1 species
GAUGAACGCUGGCGGCGUGCUUAACACAUGCAAGUCGAACGGAAAGGCUCCUGCUUGCAGGGGUUCUCGAGAGGCGAACGGGGGAGUAACACGUGGGUGAACUGCCCUGCACUUAGGGAUAAGCCUGGGAAACUGGGUCUAAUAUCGGAGAGGAUGUAUGGAUGGAUGCGGUUGUGGAGAGAGUUUCGGUGUUGGUUGGACUCGUGGCUGAUUAGGUUGUUGGUGAGGUAGUGGCCAACGAAGGCGCCGACGGGUGGCCGGCCGGAGAGGGUGUACGGCGACAUUGGUACUGAGAUAGGGCCCAGACGCCUACGGGAGGCAGCGGUCGAGAAUAUUGCGCAAUGGGCGCAAGCCUGAUGCGGCGGCGCCGCGUGGGGGAUGACGGCCUUCGGGUUGUAAACUCCUUUCGCUAGGAACGAAGCGCAAGUGACGGUACCUGGAGAAGAAGCACCGGCUAACUACGUG